CUUGGUUCAGGACGAACGCUGGCGGCGUGCCUAAUACAUGCAAGUCGAACGGUCUUUCUAUGGAAGCUUGCUUCCACUGAGAAGAUAGUGGCGAACGGGUGAGUAACACGUGGGUAACCUGCCCAUAAGAGGGGGAUAACAUCCGGAAACGGGUGCUAAUACCGCAUAGUUUUUCUUGAUCGCAUGAUCGGGAAAGGAAAGACGGCCUUUGUGCUGUCGCUUAUGGAUGGACCCGCGGCGUAUUAGUUAGUUGGUGAGGUAACGGCUCACCAAGACGAUGAUACGUAGCCGACCUGAGAGGGUGAUCGGCCACAUUGGGACUGAGACACGGCCCAAACUCCUACGGGAGGCAGCAGUAGGGAAUCUUCCGCAAUGGACGAAAGUCUGACGGAGCAACGCCGCGUGAGUGAAGAAGGUUUUCGGAAUCGUAAAACUCUGUUGUCAGAGAAGAACAAGUUGGAGAGUAACUGCUCCAGCCUUGACGGUAUCUGACCAGAAAGCCACGGCUAACUACGUGCCAGCAGCAGC
rnacentral:rRNA from 1 species